rnacentral:rRNA from 1 species
GUGGGGAAUAUUGGGCAAUGGGCGAAAGCCUGACCCAGCAACGCCGCGUGAAGGAAGAAGGUCUUCGGAUUGUAAACUUCUUUUAUGAGGGACGAAGGACGUGACGGUACCUCAUGAAUAAGCCACGGCUAACUACGUGCCAGCAGCCGCGGUAAUACGUAGGUGGCAAGCGUUAUCCGGAUUUACUGGGUGUAAAGGGCGCGUAGGCGGGGAUGCAAGUCAGAUGUGAAAUCUAUGGGCUUAACUCAUAAACUGCAUUUGAAACUGUAUCUCUUGAGUGCUGGAGAGGUAGACGGAAUUCCUUGUGUAGCGGUGAAAUGCGUAGAUAUAAGGAAGAACACCAGUGGCGAAGGCGGUCUACUGGACAGUAACUGACGCUGAGGCGCGAAAGCGUGGGGAGCAAACAGG